CUGAAAUAGAGGUUUUUGCUCUUUUCUCAGACCCAUCUCCUCAAAGGCUCAGACCCAUCUCCUCAAACAGCCUUUCCCCAAUUGUAUCAAUUUGAAAUCUCCAAUUACCAAAAAUCCAGACGUCUUCGUCUUCCCUUUUUGCUUAGUUUCCUUUUCCUUUCAAUUCACAUAAAUCUAAUCAAAGAUUAUCUCCAUUCCCAUCUCCAAACCCUAAUUUCUCUGAAUCCCAGUUUCCUUCAGUUUCAAAACAAAACACCCGGCGUGACGAAACUGCUCUCCCUCAAAUUCACAUAUUCCCCACACCACUACGUUCAAAAACAUAAAGUACCUUGAUUCGAUUUUGCUCCGUGUAAAUUACAGCAAGGAUUUCAAUUUGAGAGCUCAAUUCGUUAGGGUUUGAUUUUUGUGAAGUGAAUGCUGUGUUUUUCUGAGCUCUGAAUCUUGAAGCUUCAAUCUGAUGGCGGCGGGGACAAUGGCCACCUCCGCCGGAGCUGCUGUGAUUCUGUACUACAUGUUUGGCCUGAGAGCGUCGUCGAAGCAGAGAUUUCUCCAAGUCGAGAUCGGCGAGGAGGAGGCUUUCUCGGCCACCGGCUCAGGCGCCGGCCACGUGGAUCGAGUCAAUAUCAACCUUGACAGAUACGCUGCGUUUCACUUACUCUGAGACUCUAGGGAAAUGGCCGAUCGGCGACUUGGCCUUCGGCAUUAACUACCUCAUGCGUAGGCAGGGGAAUUUACAAGUGGCGAGUGUGUAUGCUGGUAGUGAUAGUGUGUAGCUCAAAGGCGCUAAGAUUAUUGAGGAACUGAAUUAUUACUUGAAGCUGUUGACGCUUUGUUAUCUGUUUUCCAAGAAACCGUUUCUAGUGUUUUUAGAGUCCGACGGUUUCUCUAUGGAAGAUGUCCUUUUUCAGAAGCCCAAGGCUGCGGUUUCUUCUGAAGCCUGCGUUCACCAUUCUACGUGAUAAAGAUUCAAAAUACUUUCUUCUGUUCAUACGUGGUACACAUAGUAUCAAAGAUACACUGACUGCCGCAACUGGUGCAGUGGCCCCUUUCCACCAUUCAGUUUUGGAUGAUGGUGGAAUAAGAAACUUAGUCCUAGGAUAUGCUCACUGUGGGAUGGUUGCUGCAGCCCGUUGGAUUGCUAAGCUCAGUACUCCUUGCUUGCUUAAGGCUCUUGGUGAAUAUCCUGAGUAUACAGUAAAGGUGAAUACCAUUUCAUGAACUAUGCAUCAGACUUCUUUUUUCUAUUUCUAUCUGUUUUGAUUCUCCAUGUAUUAUUUCUUAUCUUUAUGGUGCAUGUUUUGUCUUCUUACUGUUCUUUAGCUUAACUUCUAGCGUUACAUUUUGUUUUUGAACUGACAUAAACUGAGUCAUUCAUCCAACACAUGUUCUAAUACUACUUAUUUACGGUUACUUUUCAACGAAGUCUUGUGACUCAGCAACCAAAGUGAUCUUGCUACUGAAUUAAGCAUGUGCCCUUUCCCUCAAUUAUACAGACUAUCCCUAUUUCACAUAUUCCUAUUGUUAGACUAUGUGUAGUUCUUAUUAUCCUGUAGCUUGGGAUUUCGGGUUUCAAAAGAAUUGAAUGAAUAAGAGGUGGUACUGAUAUCUGAAUUGUCGGUUUGAUUAGAAAAUAUACUGGAGGGUAACCAUCUGGUUAGUUUUGGAAAUUUGCUUUAUUUAGCUUGGGGUUACUUAAUGGACGAGGGAAAACUGAUUUUUUUGUUCUUUUUCUUUUAAGUUUGAUCCAGGGAGUGUUCAUCCUAAUACAAGUCAGGUAAAAUUCCUCUACACUAUGCUAACUUUUGUCAAGAAGUUCAACCUCUAUUUUACCGUUUACAGUUGGUUAAUCUCAGCUGUUCUUACGCUCUUUCCACUUUACAGCUUUUACUUUUAAUUCCAUUAUUGGCACAAAUCAUGCUAUUUGUGCACUUCGUUGAUGAAUCAGCAAGAAGUUUGUGGUCAAUAGUCAUCUGAAAGUUAUUUUUGAUAAUGAUGUGGGCCUAAUUUCAGAACCCAUUUCUGCAAUUCUUACUAUAAUUUUAUCUUUCUAUCUUUUAUUUUUCAGUGUACACGCUCAUAAACCUAUAAACAUGCCUCAUGCAUAUCUUAAACUUUAUCUCUUUAUCUUUUUCAAGUUUCAGAUUAUAGUGCAAGAUUAUGAAUUAUAGAUCAGAUAUUUCUUUUCCAAGCAUGUGAUUUUUUGCAUAGGUGACGGUCCAAUUGAAAACUAGAUCAAAUAGAACAAGCUAAUGAUGAAACAAGGUAUAGAUCACUUGCUAACAAGUCUACUUCUCAAAACAGGAUUACUUUUAACAUACCUUUGUUUUCUUUCUCCUCCCAGAGUUUCAUUCUCAUUUCACUUAGAUACUAAGUGCAGUGUUUCGUAACUUUGCUUGAACAGGUUCUGUUGGAUGUCUACUGAUUACUCAGUGGCCACUUGUAUUUUAUUUUUCACAGAGAUGGGCUAGAGAAGUGGAAGAGCAAAAGCUUAUUGGCAGUGGAGCACUGGAUUUGCAGGGACAUGCCUCCAAUGUAUAGAGCAACCAGCUGAACACACACUGUCUGACAGAUUUGGGAAUGCAUGUGCUGAUAUAUAGACCAUUAUAUCAGGUUCCUUGAUCUAAUUCAAUCCUUACUUUUUAGGUCUCAAUUUGCUGUUAUGACUUAUGGUUUUGACUGAGUGAACUUGCAAGAACUAAGUCAUUAUUAAAAUGAUACAUUGAGUUUAGGAUGCCUGAUGUUGUCAUUAUCGCUUGUUGUAUUGUGCUAUACUUCUAUUGUUUCUUUUUCCAUUGUUACAACCUCAAGCUUUGUUGCUAUACAUGAGUUUAUGAUGUUGUCGUUAUUGCUUGUUGUAUUGUGCUAUACCUCAAGUUUAUGUAGCAACAAUACCAUUGCUAUACAUGAGUUUAUGAUGUGUAGCAUCAGGCUCCUUGGCCUCACUCUUAGUGGAAUCUCUAAGUGGACCUAGCCUUGCCUCAAAGGCAAGGUGAACUACUAUACAUGCUUGUGUCACUAUCUCUCUCCAUCAUGAUCCAUACUUAGUUCCCGUAUUCUCACACAGAAACAUUGGCGCCGUCUGUGGGAAUCGAUACAAAAAGUCAUGUUGCUCUUCCCGCUUAUAUUCAUCUCGCCCAUGAUACCCAUCAUGCUUCAUAGAGGAGGGUCCCUAGGAGUUUGGGUAUGAACCUCCGACCUUGAGCAAGGGUCAUGUACGGGAACCACCAAUCAUGUACGCGCAAGACACCCCGCACCUUGAGCAAGGGUCAUGUAUGGGUACUACGAGUCACCGGGUACAUGGAUACAUGCAGGACACCCCUCACCUUCCUCACCCAAGCCUCCAAGGAGCCAGCGGGUACUACAAGUCAGCGGGUACAAGGACACCCCACCCUCAACUCUACACCCAAGCCUCUCCUCCGGGUACCAUGAGCCAGCGGGACUCAUGAGUCAGCAUGAUCAAUUCUUCUUUGAGCCUCAGACAAAUAAUCAUGUUGCUCAUCCCGCCUAUAUUGCUCACCCCGCCCGUGAUACUCAUGAAGUAGGGAUAAGUCCAAGCAAUCUCGUUGAUGCACACUUAUGCCCUUGCCAAACGCCAUCCAGCAACCAACGGGGCCCGAUUGAGUCUAGAUCCCGCAGGCAUGACUUGGUCAAAGUCUAAACCUGCUCUCAUACAACAGUAACAUGUCAUCAUCGGGUUAUCAUCACCACCUCACGUUACCGUCGAUUCCUAUGAUCUGAAAUUUCAUGAUACAGGGUUCGUGGACAAAAGAAAAGGCAAUGGGAGUGAGACAAAUCGAAUCCCAGAUCUUUUCCUUUUCAGUCGACAACCUUCGAUCAUUUCCAUGGCCCACCACUCCCACCACCGUGCUCAACACAAGCACCCCGGUGACCCACCUCCCGGCACCACACUCCGGCCCCCGCUGUGAAACUUAGCUCAAGCUCUCUCCAAGCACCGAAGAAAAGCCAUUUGAGCUCCCGGCACCAGCAGUUCCGGAUCCCGUGUUCACCUGCAAACCCUCUCCAAACGUACCCGAUCGCUAACACCCUAUCCCGGUAGACCUCUGCUCGGUCACCUUUCGGCAACAAAACAGUGGUAGCAUCAACCCCUCACUCACCCGAUACUUAAUUCAUCACCCGGAAGCUCAUCCUGCCAGCAGCAACAACUCAUUCCUCCUGAUGACUCAUCACAACUCUCGAUCACUGACGCACCUCUCUGAUUCUCACCAACACUUCAUCAGCCUUCUGUGACUCAAUUGCUUGCCGACAAGUCUUCUCCUUAUAGUACCCGCAACCUCGAUUAAUUUCCAGAACCUGGUCAAGCGAGGUGAUCCCACUCACUCAAGUAGGAAGGCCUCGUCUCUCUCAUCUACCGAGGGCUAUUCCAGAGAGCUUUGAUAUAUUACAGCAAAACUUUGUCAAUCUCCAAGUAUCUCAGUGAUGUACACCGUUACCCAAAAAAAUAAAAAAUUUAAACACCCAGACAAUUGCUCUGGGCAACUGGGACGCUUGUUUGGCCACCAACCCGAAGAGCACAGGCCACCGGGGAUCACCUGAACAGUUUUCGACAAGACACGCCAACUCCGAUGCAACAACCAUCCGGGUACCGAUCGAUUUAUUCAACCCAGAUUCUUCUUUGAUCGGGUACUCUACUUGGAGCGUGGCCAGAAGCCCAGAACUGUGCAUUGCUCCGGAUAGUAUACUCCUACGAGCAAGCAAAGCUAAGUCUUCACACUCUUACCAUUUCUCAAAGUUAUCAGUACUCAUAUGCCUGUUUGCUGCUCUUUCUGCAAUUUUUGCAUGCUCUGUACACAUCGAUCUACGUUUUCAAAAAUCAUGUAUCGGUGUUCAAAUAUAGCUGCCAUAGGUAUCUUAUCUCAUGAGGAUCGGAUGUCCACCUUUCAUAAAUUUUUAAACUAAACCACCACGUG